UCACAACAGACCAUUAUAGCUAGUGUAGUAUCAGCAUCAGCAGUACUAAUAGCUAUUAUAAUUUGUAUCAUAGUCUUGAAAGUCAGAGGAGCGUUAUGUUUUAGAAAAGUAAGUAGAACACCAGAGCCUACAGUAAGGCCAGAAG
rnacentral:sRNA from 1 species